rnacentral:rRNA from 1 species
GAAGACCAAGGGUUCCUGUCCAACGUUAAUCGGGGCAGGGUAAGUCGACCCCUAAGGCGAGGCCGAAAGGCGUAGUCGAUGGGAAACGGGUUAAUAUUCCCGUACUUCUUACAAUUGCGAUGGGGGGACGGAGAAGGCUAGGUGGGCCUGGCGACGGUUGUCCAGGUUCAAGUGCGUAGGCUUAAGAGUUAGGUAAAUCCGGCUCUUU